ACAUGAUGUGACUCUGCGGAACUGACGUUUUGAUGAGAGAAACAGGGUCUGA
rnacentral:misc_RNA from 1 species